GAUGAACGCUAGCGACAGGCUUAACACAUGCAAGUCGAGGGGCAGCACGGGAGUAGCAAUACAACUGGUGGCGACCGGCGCACGGGUGAGUAACGCGUAUGCAACCUACCUAUCAGAGGGGAAUAACCCGGCGAAAGUCGGACUAAUACCGCAUAAAACAGGGGCACCGCAUGGUGAUAUUUGUUAAAGAAAUUCGCUGAUAGAUGGGCAUGCGUUCCAUUAGGUAGUUGGUGAGGUAACGGCUCACCAAGCCGACGAUGGAUAGGGGAACUGAGAGGUUGGUCCCCCACACUGGUACUGAGACACGGACCAGACUCCUACGGGAGGCAGCAGUGAGGAAUAUUGGUCAAUGGGCGGGAGCCUGAACCAGCCAAGUCGCGUGAAGGAAGAAGGAUCUAUGGUUCGUAAACUUCUUUUGCAGGGGAAUAAAGUGCAGGACGUGUCCUGUUUUGUAUGUACCCUGAGAAUAAGGAUCGGCUAACUCCGUGCCAGCCGCCGCAGUAACAC
rnacentral:rRNA from 1 species